rnacentral:sRNA from 1 species
CCUGCCUCUAGUUGAGGCUCAGCUGUCUCAGCGGCGCCUCCCUCCCCCUGCAGGUGAAGCAGAUCCUCCGCAAGCGCCAGAUCCGUCCACACUGGAUGUUCGUUCUGGACUCACUGCUCAGCCGUGCUGUGCGGGCAGCCCUGGCUGUGCUAGGACCGGGUAGGAGGGGAAUGCCACGGGCCUCCUGCCAGCGAGGGUGUGGUGCUUGCUGGGCGUGGUGAACAUCGAAUGGGCCGGUGGAGGCCAGGCAGGACAGGGGCAGGCAGGCGCCGGUGGGGGCGUGACUAAAUGGACAUCUCCCAUACCGGCACCGCCUGGGGCCUGCCCAGAGCCGGGCACCCUACCCCCGCACUUUGGGGUCUGGGGUUACCAAACGGGCGUUGUAGCCUUGCCUGAGUUCACCGCACUGGGCUGCAGAGGUGGAGAAGGAGGCGGUCUCACCGAGGUCAGAGGAGCUGAGUAAAGAAGGGGACUCCCAGCAGAGCCCAGGCCAGCAGAGCCCGCUUCCGGUGGAGCCCGAGCAGGGCCCCGCUCCUCUGAUGGUGCAGCUGAGCCUCUUGAGGGCAGAGACUGAUCGGCUGCGCGAAAUCCUGGCGGGGAAGGAACGGGAGUACCAGGCCCUGGUGCAGCGGGCUCUACAGCGGCUGAAUGAGGAAGCCCGGACCUAUGCCCUGGCCCCAGAGCCUCCAACUGCUCUUUCAACGGACCAGGGCCUGGUGCAGUGGCUACAGGAACUGAAUGUGGAUUCAGGCACCAUCCAAAUGCUGUUGAACCAUAGCUUCACCCUCCACACUCUGCUCACCUAUGCCACUCGAGAUGACCUCAUCUACACCCGCAUCAGGGGAGGGAUGGUAUGCCGCAUCUGGAGGGCCAUCUUGGCACAGCGAGCAGGAUCCACACCAGUCACCCCUGGACCCUGAGAGCUGAAUGAGGGCAUCAUAGGCCAGACAGGCCC